ensembl:lncRNA
UUUUUUUUUUUUUUUUUCUUUUUAGGGCCACACCCACGGCAUACGGAAGUUCCCAGGCUAGGGGUCGAAUUGGAGCUGUAGCUGCCGGCCUACACCACAGCCACAGCAACGCGGGAUCUGAGCUGUGUAUGUGACCUACACCACAGCUCCCAGCAACACCGGAUCCUUCACCCACUAGGCGAGGCCAGGGAUGGAACCUGCGUCCUCAUGGAUACUAGUCGGGUUCGUUUCCGCUGAGCCACAACAGGAACUCCCGUGAAAAGGAUUUUUUAAACAUCUUUUUUGUGUACAUCUUUGAAAGCUCCCAACUUGAAGGUAUCCACUAGUUCCUUUGUGCUGCUAUAACAAAAUACCACAGACCGGGUGUCUUAAACAACAGAUAUUCAUCUCCCACUGUUCUGGGAGCGGGUGAGUCUGAGAUCAGGGUGCUGGCAGGGCCAGGUGCUGGUGAGGGCUCUCUUCCUGGCUCACAGCCGGGUACCUUCUCACUGCAUCCUCACAGAGUGAAGAGGGACCUCUAGUAUCUUUACUUUUUCCAACGCCAACGGCAUACGAAAGUCCGAGGGCCAGGGACUGAAUCUGAGCUGCAGCUGCAACCUGUGCUGCAGCUGCAGCAAUGCUGGAUCCUUUAACCCACUGUGCCAUGCCGUGCCUCUGCAGUGACCUGAGCUGCUGCGGUUGGCUCCCUAACCCACUGAGCCACAGGGAGAACUCCUGGCAUCUUUUCCUUUACACGCAUGGGCACUAAUCCCAUUAGGGGGGUUCCACCCUCAUGGCCUCAGUGAACCAUCCUUACCUUCCUGAAUCCCCACCUCCCAAUUCCAUCCCCCUGGGGGUUAGGGCUUCAACGUAUGGACCUGCAGGGGUGGGUACAAACAUGUAGCCUAUAGCUCCAUCUCCAAACCCACUGACCAACACAAGGAUGCCUUGUGAGGACGGAACAUGAGUACCCAAGCCGUAAAAUGUAUCUGUUUGAUAAGUGAGUUCCCCAAGACCUGAAUCACAUUCAUUCAAGUCCUUACAUUCAUGAAGCCAAAGGUACUUCCGGCCUCCUCAUUCUAGGGAAGAGUCUCAGGCCCAGACAAAGUGACUGGCUCCAGGCCACCCUGCUGACGUGAGCCAGAACUGAGUCUUGAACCUGAGGGUCUGGUCUCCUUGGCGGUCCACGUUCAGGUGGUUGCUCUGUGGCACAAGCAAUAAGUGCCUGGAGCCUGGGAAUCCUUUCAUUCUAUGAGCCUGUAGUUUCAACAUCCUAUUUUCUGGAAGUCAAAACUAUAUCACCAGGGUGUUUCUCUUUUUCAUUACAGCAGUCAACUCCAUUUUAUUUAUAUUUUGCAGCGAAAUGACUUAAAUCAAAUGUGCUUGGGCACAGAGGAAAUCUGACCUGAAAGAGAGUUUCUGUGGCAGAAUGAGAGCCAGCAGAUACUUAUUUCCUGCCUUUCUGAGGCCAGUAACAUUCUGGUACAAGGGGAUUCAUCAAUACAUCUUUCAUAAGGGCUUCUCUGCACAGUGAGGUGGAAAAUCUUUCCAAUGACUCCGGCCCAUUUGUAACUUUGCCCUGAAUAAAAGAAGGGAUUGAUCGAGGCUUGGACUGCUUCCUUGCCCAGGGGCCCUCCUGCACCCUGGGAGGCAGAGUCUACAAAUGGCAUUCAAUUGGGCAAUUGCUCCUGGAGGCAGUGCCCAGGAGGGGCAAGCAUGGCCUCUGAAGAGUGGGCAUUGACAGGCUGCACGUGCUCAGCCUUCGUCUACUGGGUCUACAGAGGGACCGACGAUCGGAAGUCUCUACAUAAAAAAGGCUCAAAAAGAAUCACAGGGAAGGGGUGCCACCGGGAGUUCAGAAACAGCAGAUCCGUUUCCCCUUCCGGGGACGUCCAAUGCACAACGCAUGGUCGGUGUGACAGAGCCUCAGUUGUGUCCAGUCUAUUGGCAUUUCUUUUCUUUUCCUUUUUUAGGGCUGCACCUACAAUAUACAGAAGCCCCAGGCUAGGGAUCAAAUCGGAGUUGCAGCUGCUGGCCUACACCACAGCCACAGCAAUGCCAGAUCUGAACCACGUCUGCAACCUCCACCACAGCUCACGGCAAUGCUGGAUCCUUUACCCACUGAGCGAGGCCAAGGGAUCAAACCUGCAUCCUCAUGGACACUAGUCAGGUUUGUUUCCGCUGAGCCAUAAUGGGAACUCCUACUGGCAUUUCUUAAGAAGGCACAAUGAAUCAGCAGAGUCUGGGAGUCUGAAGGCUCUGUAACAAGGCGAGGGGGUGCUGGGGGUGUUGAAAAGCACGGCCCAUUCCUCCAGACACAUCCAUGACCCCAACCUGCCAAAAUGGUAGUGAUGUUUUGAGUGCCCUGUUGCCUGGGAGACCAGGUGGCCUGAGUUCUGUCUUCUAUGCUGCUACUCGAGAACUAGCAACCUUUGAAAAUUAGAAUGCUCCCUGUGAGCCAGGCUUUCCUUUUCUACAAAACUGGCAUGAGACCGCUCAUCUCAGGGCAGCGGUUUUUCUAUUGGGGCAGGUGGGGGGGGCAAUUUUGCCUCCCAGGGUACUCUGGGUAAUGCCUGGAAAUGCUUUUGGUUUUCCACAACUGGACGAGGAGGGGUGGGAUGCCCUGACUUCUAGUAGGAAGAGGCCAGAGAGGCUGCUAAACAUCCUACAAGGAGCACAGCCCUCACGGCCCCCACAGAGCAAAGAAUGAUGCCAGCAGUAUGCCAGGGGUGACAAAACACGCCGUAAGUGGCCGUGUGACACCCCAGAGACUGAAACAAGGGGCGCAGCCCAGGGCCCUGCACAGGACCGGCCCAGAAUGAAGGGAGCUUCUGCCCUUCUCUUCUUCCAGAUCCUUCCGCGCCCCACCCACCCCCAUGAGGUGGGGGUCGGAUUCCACUUAGGACCGGCUCUUCUCACGGGGUUCCUCGAGGGCAGUUGCGGGGGUGGGCAGAGAAGAUCGACGCUCUCUGCGCCUCCUCAUAGGCUGGGUCAGUCCUAAGACGCCUGUCCACCUGCUCUCGCAGACCCACCCAAAGAGCACGCUGAUCCCUGGCUCCUUCCCCGCUUCCCAGGCACGUGAACUUGAAUGACCUCCUUCUCCUAUCCGAGCGCCAAUGGUGGGAUAAAUGGGACUGCAGACCUGCAUUCGAGUCCGAGCGGCCAUGCGAUGGAGAAGUCAGUGAAGUUCCUUGCACCUGGCACACCGAGAUGCUCAGUGAACGGGAUUCAUCAUGUUCUGUGGGGAAAGCAAUGCCUAUUUCCUCUGGUUGUCAUGGGGAUUAGAGGUACAACAGGAAGAGCGGUUAGGGCGGUGUCUACUGCCAUCGCUGAUGCUGAGUAAAUCUUGGCGGAUUGGAGACAGAUGAAUGCAAACAUGAAUGACCAAAAAAAAUUUUAAGGUUCAUGGAAAAGUCUAGCAUUCAAGGAGAAUCGAGUUGUUUUCUCAUGGCACAAGGGGUUCAGGAUCAGGCAUGGUCACUGCAUCAGCUCAGGUGGCCGCUAUGGCAUGGGAUCGCUGGCCCAGGAAUUUCCACAAGCUGUGGGUGCAGCCAAAAAAAAAAGAGGAGAGCUCCAAAUGUAUUUGUCCAAUGACAAGGAGGAGCCAGGGAGGCUCGGGGGUGUGCAAAGGUCUGCAACAGGGUUUCUCAACCUCAGCAUUACAGACAUUUGGGGCCAGAUGGGCUCUCUGGGGGAGGGAGUGCUGUCCUGUGCAUUGCGGGAUGUUUAGCAGCAUCUCUGGUCUCUACUCACUAGAUGCCAGCAGCAUCUUCUCUCUUCAUCCUGGGAUGGAGACAACAGAAGCUGUCUCUGGACUUUGCCAAAUAUCCCCCCCCCCGGGGGGGGGGGGGCACAGUCACCCGUGGUUGAGACCCACCCACAGAUCUGAAGAGCCAGACACAAGGUGGUCCUGGCUCAGCAUUGACUUAGAAGAAGGCAGAGGCAGAGGAGCGGGGGCACGGGGCCGAUCCGCCGUCCCACUUGCCUGGGCAUUUCAGCUCGGCUCUCUCACACAAUGAGUGCCUGGGAGAGACGUUGUCCAGGGCAGACCCCAGCUUGGUCUUUCUGAAUCAGGCGGUGGCUAGGACAGCAUCGCCGUCUGUGCUCUGCCUUGUGAAGAGGACGCCUUUUCUGAGAACCCACUUUUCCAGCCCUGAGAUCUCAGGAGGAUAUCUCAGUCAGCGUUGCAGCCACUCCACCUGCCUCUCUUCCUCUCCCUUCAAAGGGCUUCUCCGGAAGCACUUCUCACCCCAAAUGGUUUAAUGUCCCUAUUCUGUGGAUGAGCCACUGCAGUCAAGAAGAUUCAGAGGCCCAGAGUUAAGCUGUAAGUUUGCAGUUUGGGCUUAGAGGCGGCAAAACCUGUGCUUCUCUUCAGCAUCAGAACAUAACAUUUCAGUGGAUGCUUCGAGGCUAGGCAGGGAGAAAGCAAAAUGCAUGGGUCCCAGGUUCACGGGUGGGGGUGGGGAGCCAGAGUAUGAGAGCAGGGGGAGAAAGGUCAGAUGAGCUCAAAGGCAGCUGGGCUUGGAGGUUCGUGGCAGGAACACGUCACCCCUGUAAAGAGGGAAUCAUAUCAAAACUUCCAGGACCUGCUUUCAGGAAUGAGCUGCACCUGGACUGAAUUUCUGGGCAUUUCCUUAACACCUUCGCCUUUCUCUCAUCCCACUUUGAUCCUUUGCUCAGUCCUAGGUCUCCCUUGGCCCCACCAGCCCCUUCACCAAGAUGAAAGCUGCAGAUUCCUGACUGAGCGCCCCUGCAAGUACCUCGACCACCCAUCCACACCCAUCCAUCGGUCCCACCCCCCAGCCAGAGCGAUCCUUUGAUCCUUCGCUUAUUUUUUCUUUGGCUUCCCCUUCAGCAUAUGGAGUUCCCAGACCAGGGGUCAGAUCCGACCCAGAGUUGCAAGCUAAGCUGCAACUAUAGCAACAUUGGAUCCUUAACUCAUUGUGCAGGGCCAGGGAUCAAACCUGCAUCCCAGCCCUCCCAAGAUACCACAGAUCCAGUGGUGCCACAGCAGGAACACCCAGAGCAAUCCUUUGAAAAGACAAAUUGGAUGCUGCUCUUUUCCUUAAAUCCUUCCGUUUCUCCCUGGUGUUCUUGGGACACAGAUGGAACUCUGAGUGCCGCCUGCAGAACCCCAGUAGGCACAGCCUCUGCUCACACCCCCUCCACUCUCUCCUGCUUCUUAUACUUCUCUCCAGGCAUCAUGAGUCGGAGGACAUUCCCACUCAGACCAGGACCUUUGCACAUGCUGCUGCCUCUUCCUCAGCGAAUCCUUAACCCGGUCUAUAGGUCUUUGUUUCAGCUUCACUGUCACUUCUGCCGGGAAACUCUUGCGACCCUCCUUGGUCAAGCCCCACAGCUGAAAGGCUCAGAGCACUCAGCCCCCAUCUCACCGCACCUGCCAUCCCAUCCAUGACUGACACCUGUUCCCAAACAGGCGUUGACCCUGGGGGCAGGGUGCAAAUCUCUUUUGCCCACUAAUGCAUCUUUGCUCGUAUUAGUUUUAGUCAACGUUUGUGGAAUAAAAACAAAUGGGAAGGAAGAGAGAGGCUCGCUCCAAGUUUAGACCAAGAGGGUCCUUUUCAGGGAUCACGUCCCCGUCUCCAUUCCCCGACGCCGUGCGGGUAGAAGCGGGGCGGGCAGAGUGUGGUGUCUGCCUGUCUGGAUGGCCUGGGGCCCGGCCCUCCCCCCACACCUCCCUGGCUUCCCUUUUCCACCCUUGGGCAGAGGAAGGUGGUCCUCGAUGCCUGCCCCAUGCCCGCCACUGAGGUCAAGCUCCUGCCGCCUGGGCAGUGGGAAGGAGACGUGGACAGUGGCCUCCAGGAGCCCGGUGGCAUCUGCAUCACCUGGCGGCUGGUUAGAAAUGCAGACUCCCAGGCGCCAGCCCAGACCUCUGAGUCAGAAUCUCAGAAUCCACACUGGAACAACAGCCCGGGUGAUGUGUGUCAGAGCGUGAGAAAAGAAGCACGGGCCAGAGCAGGCGCCUCCGAGCUAUCCGGAGGGUUGGUUAAACUGAAUCACCCUACCCAACCACUUUUUUUUUUUCUUUGCUUUUUAGGGCCGCACCCAUGGCAUAUGGAGGUUCCCAGUCUAGGGGUAGAAUUGGAGCUGUAGCCGCCGGCCUACACCAUAGGCACAGCCACGCCAGAUCUGAGCCAUGUCUUCGACCUAAAACCACAGCUUGCAGCAACGACAGAUCCUUAACCCACUGAGCAAGGCUAGGAAUUGAACCUGUGUCCUCAUGGAUACUAGUCAGGUUCAUUUCC